rnacentral:lncRNA from 1 species
UUCGGCUUACCACCGUAUAUCGUGAGGCACAGUACGGAUAACCGACACAAGAGUAUCGGGGUCCGACUUAUCGGUGCUCCCCCGACUAAAUACGCCGGACGACAUCCGACUGAAUGCGUCGGAAGAGACUCGACUACCGCACUUAUCCCACGGUUGGUCGGCUUCCGACUCAACGGACGCGCCCGACUCAUGGCCGGAGGAAGGACGUCUGACUUACGACCUCGACCACCGAAGGCCGGUCCAAAGUCGGGACUUGUCCUACCUGCGUGGCGGCACGAGUUGCCGAACGUCCUAACCGACCUAUAUGAGUUAGCGACUUACGAAGGCAUUCAACAACACAUAAGAGAAAGAAGAACAAGCAGAGAAAAAAGUAAAGGACUGAUUUCAUUCAAGGUCAAAAGGAGUUUUCAAAAUCGGGCCGAAGCCCAGUUACAAUAGUUCUAAGAAGUAAAACGAAAAAAGAUAAAAGCCGAUGAGACCGCGGUCAUCCUUCCGAGUCGAUCUCCUCGACCGACGGAAGAUCGGGGAUGACCGGCAUAUCCACCAUGAUCGGCGCUAGGUCGACGGCCGAAGCAGGAUCGUCGGUCGGUGGGGAGCUGGCAGUCGACGUCGGGACACGAGUCGCAGCCGUCUCUCCUUCGACCACUUGUUCCUGGACGGCCUCCCCCGCCACGACGACGCCUCCCGAUGGCGGGUCGGCCAUCUCUUCAGUGACUUGCUCCUCGGCCCC